GGUCCCUUCGACAAGCGGUCCAAGUCACCGCCCUUUCACGGCGGCGUCAGGGGUUCGAAUCCCCUAGGGAUCACCA
rnacentral:tRNA from 1 species